ensembl:lncRNA
CUAGUGACCUCAACAAUUGCAAGACAGCCUUGUCCCCGAUGCAAAUAUAUGAAAAAAUAAAAUACGAAGAUUUAUGAAACCAUUAGGACUUUAUCACUGUUUUAUCUGAAAAGUUACUGGUAAUAUAUAACCUAACUGGCAUUUAAAGUGUAAAAAACAGAAUGUAGAUAAAAUUUUGGUUUUGCUGAAAAGAACUGGAGCCAACUUUAUUUUUUACAAUUAUUGUAGCUGUUUUAAGACUGUAAAACCCCUCACUACAUGCUUUACACACUUUCCUCAGACAGGCACGAACAUUUUCACACUUUUUUCUUUUGUUUAAACACUCUUAAAGUUCAAACCUUCGUAGAAACACAAGUCCAUUAUAAAAUCAAACCGCGCAAAACGUUUGUUUCGUCGGCAUUGUUGUGUUUGUUGGGGAGAAAACUUACAAACAUACAGUAAAGCACUUCAGAGUUACAUUGCUAGCGAUCGAAGAUUUAUAUAAAUUCGACAAACUAAACUCAUUAUGUACUGUACAGCAGCGGUCCCCAACCUUUUUUGCACCCCGGACCAGUUUAAUGUCAGAAAAUAUUUUCACGGACCAGCCUUUAAGGUGUCGCGGAUAAAUACAACAAAAUAAAAUGAUACAAAGACAAAAACGGUGGUAUUUUGUAAAUAUAAUAAUAAACGCGAAUUCACUGUAUGAUUGUGUAACUUUAUUAGCAGGGUCCUCCUGAAAUGCACCAACAACAUUGAGAAUAACAUCCUCCUCUCUGCUUCUUAAUGCUCUCUGGUCGCUAUGGUAACGCGUAAAUAGUUCUUUCAAAAUAAGACACACGACUACAACACGGGAAAAGACCCAGGGAACCCGACUUAACGAUUAAAAACCCUGAAAAUCAUACACUUCACACCCGAACCUCAACUCUCGCGGCCCGAUACCAAACGGGCCCGGGUGUUGGGGACCGCUGCUGUGCAGAAGACACGGCACUAGAUUGAUUGACAAUGGUCUACAGCAAUCAGAACGCACAAAACAAUGUGCUGUUAAGAAGAAAAAAAAAUCAGCGAAACAGCGAGUCCGCGAAAGGUGCUGAUAAAUAAAUUCUAAGUGUUUUUUUUAACAAUCUGGGUUAAAAACACUUAGAAUCAAAUUUAUUUAUCAGCAGCAUCAAUAGUAACAAAAAUACAAUUUAGUUUUCGCUGUCAAAGUCGAUUUAACUGAAGUUACGUGCUUCCGGUUACUGUGGAGGUCGCAAUAUGGCGCUCCCCAGUGGCUGCAGCCAGGUGCUCUUGACUGGUUGGGGUGAGAGAAAAAAGACAGGAUUGAAGACUGUGGAAGAGGCUGUGGAAGAGAGACAGAGAUUAAUAACAAGUAUGAUUCAAUACAGAGAGCUCUAUUAACCAGGGCGGUUGCCCGGGGAGGCAUCGUGGUGGGGCCAGCAUCACGGGCAUCGGCAAAAAAAAUAAAUAAAUAAAAAUUACUCGUACUCAUGCUGCCCCGACAUCAUGCCAGCGCAUAUUGGGAAUGGCAUAGGCACCGAUCGGUUUUCUAUCGCCAAUUUGGGAGUAAGGGGGGGUAUGGGCUCAAAAUGUGGUCAUAAAUAUUUUGUACUUGUAAAUCAGGAUUUGUAUGUGUAAAAAGAAUUUGUGCGUGCGUAAAAAAGAUUUGUAUGUGUAAAAAAGAUUUGCGUGUGCGUAAAAAAGAUUUGUAUGUGUAAAAAAGAUUUGUGUGUGGACUUAGCCAAAAAAAACCCUGCAAGUUACAAGUACGAAUUUUGACCCUAUUUUUCUUCCUGUCAUCUGAUUGGUCAAUGUCAUGUCAAUCACAAAUGUAACAAUCCAAUCAGAGAACAGAUGGGUUUGGCUGUCGGAGGGGCACUUUUUUGAACUGCAGGUCCUUGAAGGGAGUAAAUGCCCUUUCACAUGCCAACCCAGCGAAUACAGCGUAUUUAAAAUACAAAAUAUGAACAUUUCGUUACAGUUACCGUUUAAAAAGGUGGUAUUUAGAAUACAGUUACUUUGUUGAAAUAAAUGGAUUACAUGGCUGUAUUUUCCUGUUUCAUAUUGUGGCAGGUCAGGACUGUUUGUGUUUUGUUCGACAGCUAUGUUCUGUUGUUCCAGGCGGCAGCGUUACGGUUGCAGUGGUUAAAGGGCGACGCUCUCUCUCUCUCUCUCUGCGACUGUGUGUUUCCUGGGUGAGAGCGCCUUUUUGUUGUUGUUGUUGUGCUAAGCUAAUAGGCAGAAUGCUACAGGCAUAGUCCUAAAGAAUGUAUCCAUAUGGGCAGUGUAGUCCGUGCUGCAGGGAGAAUGGACUGCCAUACACGUUAUGUAUCUGUGAGUGCAAAGAGGGAGAAAAAGGAGAGUGGAAAAGUAGGAGUUGUCAUAGAGCAAAAACGGGAGCUGGAAGCAUGUAAAUAUAAUAAUAAUCACUGCAGCCAAGAAGAGUGCCUGACGAGCCCAGUUGUAAGUAAGCUAUUAAGACUCGACAGUAUUUGUGUUUUUCUCCAAAACAAAAAGUUCCGUUGGAGCAGCUUUUCAAAGCCUCUCUCUGUCUCUCGCAAGCACAGUUGUCUGGGUCAACUUUGCUUGCGAGAGACCCAGGGGUUCUGUGUCAGCUACGAGCCCAACACGGAACCGACGUAUUAGCCAGAGGUCCCUUUAGGUUCGGAGCUGCGGACCUUCAGUAAUAGUAAUAAAUCACACAGCAAUAGUGCAUUCACGUACUGGUGAAAACCAUGAUAAUAAUAAUAUAUAUAAUAAUAUUAAGUAAUCCAAAGUAUUCAGAAUAUGUUACUGUCAUUGAGUAACAUAACAGAAUACGUUACAAAAUACAUUUUGGGGCAUGUAUUCUGUAAUCUGUAGUGGAAUACAUUUUAAAAGUAACCUUCCCAACACUGCACAUAGUGAGUGAGGAGUGUGAGUGAAGAAGAAAUACUCAAUGCGUCAUGGGAAUCCCCCAGCAGCCUACACCUAUUGCAGCAUAACUAAGUAACUAAGCAUCACUAUGAGACAGGAUAUUUCUAAUUUUA